rnacentral:rRNA from 1 species
CCUACGGGUGGCAGCAGUCGAGAAUCAUUCACAAUGGGGGAAACCCUGAUGGUGCGACGCCGCGUGGGGGAAUGAAGGUCUUCGGAUUGUAAACCCCUGUCAUGUGGGAGCAAAUUAAAAAGAUAGUACCACAAGAGGAAGAGACGGCUAACUCUGUGCCAGCAGCCGCGGUAAUACAGAGGUCUCAAGCGUUGUUCGGAAUCACUGGGCGUAAGGCGUGCGUAGGCUGUUUCGUAAGUCGUGUGUGAAAGGCGCGGGCUCAACCCGCGGACGGCACAUGAUACUGCGAGACUAGAGUAAUGGAGGGGGAACCGGAAUUCUCGGUGUAGCAGUGAAAUGCGUAGAUAUCGAGAGGAACACUCGUGGCGAAGGCGGGUUCCUGGACAUUAACUGACGCUGAGGCACGAAGGCCAGGGGAGCGAAAGGGAUUAGAUACCCCUGUAGC